UCAAAAGUCAUUUUACAUCGAGCCAUGGCCUUACAACACCGUCAACUACGAGUACAGGUCUCUCAAUGCGGUUAUAUGGACUUUUCCCGCCCAAUAAAGACCUUAUACGUUAAACACGUGGAUGCAUGAGUUAGCACAGACAACCAUCGGUCAAUUCCUUCCACACUAAAUAGUCUACGUUGUCCAAAGUAGUUUUUCAUUGUGCUACAGCCUUACAAAACCGUCAACUGCGCGCACAGGCCUCUAAAGGCUGUUAUAUGGCCUUUUAAUGCUUAGUAAAGGUCUUACAUGUGAAUCACAUAGUUGCACGUGCCUGCGCAGGUUACCAUCGGUCUAUUCCUUCCACACUCAUUGGACUACGACGUCCCAAAUCGUUUUUCAAUGCGCCAUAGACUUACAACACCGCCAACAACGUGUACAGGCCUCUAAAGGCCGGUAUAUGUCCUUUUGACGCCUAAAAAGGUCUUACAUGUGAAUCACAUAGUUGCACGUGCCUGCGCAGGUUACCAUCGGUCUAUUCCUUCCACACUCAUUGGACUACGACGUCCCAAAUCGUUUUUCAAUGCGCCAUAGACUUACAACACCGCCAACAACGUGUACAGGCCUCUAAAUGCCGGUAUAUGUCCUUUUGACGCCUAA